UCUCUAUUAGCUCAGUGGUCAGAGCGCGACGCCAAUUUUCUGAUUAACGUCGUGGUCACAGGUUCGAAUCCUGUAUAGAGUG